GAUGAACGCUAGCGGCAGGCCUAACACAUGCAAGUCGAGGGGUAUAGUUCUUCGGAACUAGAGACCGGCGCACGGGCGCGUAACGCGUAUGCAAUCUACCUUUUACAGGGGAAUAGCCCAGAGAAAUUUGGAUUAAUGCCCCGUAGUGUUAUAGAAUCGCAUGGUUUUAUAACUAAAGUUCCAACGGUAAAAGAUGAGCAUGCGUCCCAUUAGUUAGUUGGUAAGGUAACGGCUUACCAAGACAAUGAUGGGUAGGGGUCCUGAGAGGGAGAUCCCCCACACUGGUACUGAGACACGGACCAGACUCCUACGGGAGGGCAGCAGUGAGGAAUAUUGGACGAAUGGGCGGCAAGCCUGAUCCAGCCAUGCCGCGUGCAGGAAGACGGUCCUAUGGAUUGUAAACUGCUUUUGUUACAGGAAGAAACACUCCCUCGUGAGGGAGCUUGACGGUACUGUAAGAAUAAGGAGUCGGCUAACUCCGUG
rnacentral:rRNA from 1 species